rnacentral:rRNA from 1 species
UGUAAGCGUAUACCAAAGUUGUUGCAGUUAAAACGCUCGUAGUCGGAAUUUGGCAGUUCCGGAUGUGUGCACGUCGUGUGCGCACUUCGCGGGGAUUGCUUUUGUGGUCUUGCGUAGGAUGAGGCACUUUUAUUAGUGAACGUCCUCACGCAACCACUUUUUACUGUGAGAAAAUCAGAGUGCUCAAAGCAGGCAUUUGCCGUGAAUGUAUUAGCAUGGAAUAAUAGAAUAGGACUUGGUUCUAUUUUGUUGGUUUGUUGGGACUGAGUAAUGAUUAAGAGGGACAGUUGGGGGCAUUUGUAUUUCGGUGCUAGAGGUGAAAUUCUUAGAUUACCGAAAGACAAACUGCUGCGAAAGCGUCGGCCAAGGAUGUUUUCAUUGA